GAACUUUGUUAUCUUUACACUUUUUUCAAUUCUUCACAGUUGAGUAGCGGAGUUGUUGUUGUUUGUUGGGCGCCAUGGAUUCUGAAGAAGCGACGUUUUCGCCUCCUGCUGUUUCUUCUUCUCCAGGUUCUUCUCCCAUCAACAAUUCUUCUUCUAAUCAUACUGAAACUGAAAAUGUCUCCAAAAUUAAUGUAGAAAUCAAUGAUUCCGAUAUUAAUAGUAAUAGCAAUAGUGAGGGUAAAAGCGCUAGUGAUGUAACUAUUGUGGGUGGUCAGCAAGAAUUGCCAAUUCCUGCUGACCCAGAUGAGGGAACCCUAGAAAAAACUAUUGGGGAAGAGAAGUUGGAUGAUUCCGUUGUGGGUUCUGCGGAAAUUGAGAAGCCUGUUUCUGAGGUUUCUAUGAGUGAGGGUGUUGAAAAUGUUGAGGCUUUAGGGGGAGAUGUUGGUGGUUCUGUUCCUGUUAAUGGGAAUAGUUUACCUGAUUCUACUGACUCUGAUGCUACCAAAUCACUGGGGACGGGAAUCGAGGGUUCGGAGGGUAAUUCUGAAGAGUUUGACUCGGUUGAUAAGUUGAAUUCAAUUGAGCAGGUGAAAGAUAAUGGUGGUGAGGUUGCGGUUGGUGCAGGAUUGAAAGAGGGUGAGGAUAGGUCCACUCAGGAGGAGGUGAAGGAAACUGUGGAGGAUGAAAAGAUGGAACCGAAAGAGGGCGGGGAUAGGUCUAUCGAGGAGGAGGUGAAGGAGACUGUGGAGGAUGAAAAGAUAGAAUUGCAAGGGGGUGAGGAUAGGUCCAUUCAGGAGGAGGUGAAGGAGAUUGUGGAGGAUGAAAAGAAUGAAGCUUUAACUAGUGUUGCUUCAUCUAAUUUAAAGGAGGCUGAGGAACCUACCUCGGUCAUCAAAGAGAGUGCUAUUGCUUCAUCCAAUUUGAAGGAGUCUGAGGAACCUACCUCGGUCUUUGAAGAGGUUGCUAUUGCUUCAUCCAAUUUGAAGGAG
rnacentral:misc_RNA from 1 species